rnacentral:rRNA from 1 species
UACGAAGGGGGCGAGCGUUGUUCGGAAUUACUGGGCGUAAAGCGUGCGCAGGCGGUUCGUUAAGUCAGAUGUGAAAGCCCCGGGCUCAACCUGGGAACUGCAUUUGAAACUGGCGGGCUUGAGUGUGGCAGAGGGGGGUGGAAUUCCGCGUGUAGCAGUGAAAUGCGUAGAGAUGCGGAGGAACACCGAUGGCGAAGGCGGAUCUCUGGGCCAUUACUGACGCUGAGGAGCGAAAGCGUGGGGAGCGAACAGG